rnacentral:sRNA from 22 species
CGCGUCCGUCCCGUGGACGCCCUGCCCAUCCCGGCCCGCUCCCGGUUAGGCUGGCGCCGUGCGCCCAUCCCCGGAUGCCCUCCGUGUGUCCGGGAAGCCGCAUAGCCGACAGCCGUCGCACCCGAGGGAGCCCUUUACAUG